CGAGUGGCGGACGGGUGAGUAAUGUCUGGGAAACUGCCUGAUGGAGGGGGAUAACUACUGGAAACGGUAGCUAAUACCGCAUAACGUCGCAAGACCAAAGAGGGGGACCCUCGGGCCUCUUGCCAUCGGAUGUGCCCAGAUGGGAUUAGCUAGUAGGUGGGGUAACGGCUCACCUAGGCGACGAUCCCUAGCUGGUCUGAGAGGAUGACCAGCCACACUGGAACUGAGACACGGUCCAGACUCCUACGGGAGGCAGCAUG
rnacentral:rRNA from 1 species